rnacentral:rRNA from 1 species
GAUGAACGCUAGCGGCAGGCUUAACACAUGCAAGUCGAGGGGCAGCACGUCUUCGGAUGGUGGCGACCGGCGCACGGGUGCGUAACGCGUAUAGAACCUACCUUAUAGAGGGGAAUAGCCCAGAGAAAUUUGGAUUAAUGCCCCAUAGUAUUAUUGAAUAGCAUUAUUUGAUGAUUAAACAUUUAUGGCUAUAAGAUGGGUAUGCGUUCUAUUAGCUAGAUGGUAAGGUAACGGCUUACCAUGGCAACGAUAGAUAGGGGUCCUGAGAGGGAGAUCCCCCACACUGGUACUGAGACACGGACCAGACUCCUACGGGAGGCAGCAGUGAGGAAUAUUGGACAAUGGGCGAGAGCCUGAUCCAGCCAUGCCGCGUGCAGGAAGACGGCCCUAUGGGUUGUAAACUGCUUUUUANACGGGAAGAAACACUCCUUCGUGAAGGAGCUUGACGGUACCGUAUGAAUAAGGAUCGGCUAACUCCGUGCCAGCAGCCG